rnacentral:rRNA from 1 species
UACGUAGGGUGCGAGCGUUAAUCGGAAUUACUGGGCGUAAAGCGUGCGCAGGUGGUUUUGUAAGCCAGAUGUGAAAUCCCCGGGCUUAACCUGGGAAUGGCAUUUGGGACUGCAAGGCUUGAGUGCGGCAGAGGAGACUGGAAUUCCUGGUGUAGCAGUGAAAUGCGUAGAUAUCAGGAGGAACACCGAUGGCGAAGGCAGGUCUCUGGGCCACUACUGACGCUGAGAAGCGAAAGCAUGGGGAGCGAACAGG